GACGAACGCUGGCGGCGUGCUUAACACAUGCAAGUCGAACGGCAGCACGGGGGCAACCCUGGUGGCGAGUGGCGAACGGGUGAGUAACACAUCGGAACGUGCCCAGUAGUGGGGGAUAGCUCGGCGAAAGCCGGAUUAAUACCGCAUACGACCUACGGGUGAAAGCGGGGGAUCGCAAGACCUCGCGCUAUCGGAGCGGCCGAUGUCAGAUUAGGUUGUUGGUGGGGUAAAGGCCACCAAGCCGACGAUCUGUAGCUGGUCUGAGAGGACGACCAGCCACACUGGGACUGAGACACGGCCCAGACUCCUACGGGAGGCAGCAGUGGGGAAUUUUGGACAAUGGGCGCAAGCCUGAUCCAGCCAUGCCGCGUGCGGGAAGAAGGCCUCGG
rnacentral:rRNA from 1 species